CAUGUUUAGGGUACCAUUCUCCCUGGAGGGUUAGACAGUAACAGGACAUGUUUAGGGUACCAUUCUCCCUGAGGGUUAGACAGUAACAUGUUGUAGGGUACCAUUCCCUUGGAGGGAUUAGACAGUACAUGUUUAGGGUACCAUUCUCCCUGGAGGGUUAGACAGUAACAGGACAUGUUUAGGGUACCAUUCUCCCUGGAGGGUUAGACAGUAACA